rnacentral:rRNA from 1 species
GACGAACGCUGGCGGCGUGCUUAACACAUGCAAGUCGAACGGUGAAGCGCCUUUCUUUUUGGUGGGUGUGGAUGAGUGGCGAACGGGUGAGUAACACGUGAGUAACCUGCCCCCUUCUUCUGGAUAACCGCAUGAAAGUGUGGCUAAUACGGGAUAUUCUGGGUCUGUCGCAUGAUGGGUCUGGGAAAGAUAUUGUUUCGGUGGGGGAUGGGCUCGCGGCCUAUCAGCUUGUUGGUGGGGUGAUGGCCUACCAAGGCGGUGACGGGUAGCCGGCCUGAGAGGGUGGACGGUCACACUGGGACUGAGACACGGCCCAGACUCCUACGAGAGGCAGCAGUGGGGAAUAUUGCACAAUGGGCGCAAGCCUGAUGCAGCGACGCCGCGUGAGGGAUGGAGGCCUUCGGGUUGUGAACCUCUUUCGCCAGUGAAGCAGGCCUGCCUCGUUUGUGGGUGGGUUGACGGUAGCUGGAUAAGAAGCGCCGGCUAACUACGUG